rnacentral:lncRNA from 1 species
CUAUCCCUAUGUCAAAAGACGAAAAAAAUUGCCUGAUCCAAUUGAAAAGGAAAAAGGAGUGAGCCUCUGGUCGAUGAUUAAGGACAACAUUGGAAAGGAUCUUACCAAAGUUUGCCUUCCUGUGUAUUUCAAUGAACCACUUUCAUCCCUGCAAAAAUGUUUUGAGGACUUGGAAUAUUCUUACCUUGUUGAUCGAGCUUAUGAGUAUGGCAAAAAGGUAGGCCGUUGGAUGUACAAAUAUUGGAUAAAAGUGAUCUAAAUUGUUUAUAAUUAUUAAAAGUAACUUGAGAAGCUUUCAUUUCGGUUUAUUUUAUCUGGGAUUGAUUUAUCUGUAAAUUCCAUUCACUUCAUCAACAAAUUUUCAUUGCAAUAUAUUUUGAAUCAAAGUUUUUUCUUGAUGUAAGUUUGCAUUAGCUGUUGUGUGACCAUUUCUAUUCCAAAUUGGAACUUGGAUGUCAAACCAAUUAAUGUCAUGAUAAGUUUCUUGAUGGACAAGUUCAUUACUAAAGUGAAUUAAUGUUACAUUUGGUCUUUCUUUUUAUUGUUGCAAUAUUAUCAACAAGCUUAAAUGCGUACCAUUGCUCAUAUUCAACGUUUACUUCAACAAUUUUACAAUGUAUUCAUUCUGGAAAACACCAUGCUAAGCUGUAAACAGGCAAGUAUAAUAAUAAAAGAUAAAAUGUCUGACAUUUGCAUCUGUUUUUAUAUUUAGAGUUACUAGCAAUGUUGUAAAGAUUUUUUUUAAUAUUCAAGUCAUGUUAUUUUGAGUUUUCACAUCUUUAUCUAACCUUGACAUUUACAAGAUGAUUGGAUCAGAUUUAGGUCUGGUAGUACGGGUUAACAAGUCUGAGGUGAUGCCCCUAUUCAUGUCAUAGAUAACUUUGAAGUCACCAGGAUAGAAUUUUGCUUGUUCCUUGGGCAUCCUCCUUUUACGUGGAAUUAAAAAUAUGUUAACAAACUAGUGGUGUCCAUGCAGUAAUAUUUAGUAAUUGCUGCAAGGCAUCAGUUUUUAUUAUUAUUUUACUUAUUAUUUCGUCUCUAAUAAAUUUUCUAGGGCAAUGGUCUCAUGAGGAUGCUUAACGUUGCUGCUUUUGCUGUUUCUGGAUAUGCUUCUACGGAUGGCAGAACCUGCAAGCCCUUUAAUCCACUCCUGGGGGAAACAUACGAGGCUGAUUAUCC